UGGUGGGGUGAUUUGUCUGCUUAAUUGCGAUAACGAACGAGACCUUAACCUGCUAAAUAGCCAGGCUAGCUUUGGCUGGUCGCCGGCUUCUUAGAGGGACUAUCGGCUCAAGCCGAUGGAAGUUUGAGGCAAUAACA
rnacentral:rRNA from 1 species